AUGAGUUUGAUAAUUUAAUUAUGUAUUGAUCUAGAAAAGCACUUACAAUACUAAUAUUUUAAUAUUCGUAAAAACAAAAUUGAAUCUAAUUAUGCUUGAUUGGGUCUGACCAUACCAAACUAUCAACGAGGGGAUGGUCACAGAAGCAAACGAUGCCGUUUCGCCCAACCUAUCUACCACCGCCAUUCUGUCACCGAUCACCUCAACCGGCGGCAGCGGAGACCUUAUUGUAUCAACGACAGACGCGAUGCGCUCCUUCCUCACCAUAUCUUCCACCGAUUCACGCCUAUCGGAGGAUCUCAGGCAUCUUUCUUCCUCGCUUAGCCUCCAGUCGACCGCAUCAUACCAAUCCCUGAGAACGAUCUGGUUCGGAUCCGAAUCUGGCUCCAGAGCCGAUCUAUCCUCUCUCCUGGCCGGCUCUAAUUUCGUCUUCACCAGCCCUGCGCCUCGCCAGAAGAGCGAGGAGCUGAAGGCGAGAUUGAGAAAUCUGGAGGAAGCAGCUGAGAGGAAGGCGUACCAUAAAUUGGUGAAGGAUAUCACUCCGAGGAAGCCUGUGAAUGAUCCUUUCUCUUCUUACAAGGAUCAAUUAGGCUUCGGAUUACACGUUGUGGUUACGAUGUUUACUGGAUACUUGGUCGGGUAUGCAGCAUUCCGAGCCCUGUUUGGCCAAAGUCCUGCCACGAGUGCUGCUGGAGGCAUCCUUGGUCUGGUCGGGGCCAUGCUAGUCGAGACACUUCUAUUUAUACUCAGAUAUUCUGACCUAGGUAGUGAAUCCUCCUCAGCUUCUACUUCUCGUCCCUCCAAUUUGAAGAUUAAGAAGAAUCAGUAGGUAUGAUUUCGGAUAUAUUUUCUUGGAAGAUUGUGUUCUGGGUAAAUAGUUUUGAAAUGCAGGCUUACUUAUGUAGGAUUUUCAGAGUUAUUUGUAUGUGAAAUAUAAGGCUGGUUUUUGGUAUUUAUUCAAAAAAAUUUUGGCAAUACGUGGUUGUUACAAUCUCUCACAUUUGAGAAGGUUUGUUCUGUGUAUUGCUCUAUUUUUCUGAUUUAUGUAGAAUAUUAGUACUAGAGUAGUGUAGUACUACUCAUAAGCAAUGCUUCCUGGUUCCUCCCAUCCCAAGUCCCAACUUAAAUCAAUUCUUACUCCGUUUGUUCCUUAAAUUUUGUCACAUUUUUCUAUUUCCGUUCAUCCCACAAAAUUUGUCACAUUUCACUUUUUACCAUUUUUUUUAUAGUGGACCACAUAUUCCACUAACUCAUUCCAACUCACAUUUUAUUAUGCGUGUUCACUUUGAACUAAUUCCAUUUCUAAGAUUUGAAAGAAGUAAUUAUUCCAAGAAUUAAGCCAUAAUUGGCCACAAUAUAGGGUCAUGAUAAUCUACAAACCCUCUAUAAUACAAUCUAUACAAACUUUAAUCCUGCCCACUUAUUGUAAUUAAUCAACGGUUAAUAUAUGUUAGAUUUGAGAUGUCAAUAUUUCCUAUGAAUCUGUUAACAAAGGGUAUUUUUGAGACAAAAUUAAUCAGUUGAAACUAUUAAUUAUGGUGAGAGAUUAUGUAAUCCCAAUAACUGCGUCUCCCCACUAUUCACGUUUCAUAUCCCCUCAUUUCAUCUCUCUUCUUCCCCUUCAUUCCACGUUUUCGUCUUUUGCAAUUCCUCCAUAGUUAAUCGACGGCGAUCCUCUGCGGCGACGACGUCAGCGAAUCCUCCUCGGCGGCUUCAUGAGUUCUGUGCGACAAAGUGGGAAAGCUUCGGCGCAGUCAUCUGAAGGUGAGAUUUCCGGCGAAAAACCCUAGUUGUUGAGAUUUCCAUUGUUGUUGUGUUUUUUUUUGGUGAGCUUUCCAGCAACAAAACCCUAGUUGUUGAAAUUUUGGUGAAAUUUCUGGCUAUUUCUUUGGUCUCGUCGAGUUCGUGAUUCUUGGGUGUUUCUUUAUGCUGCUUAAAGUGGUACUAAUUUAGUUGUUGACAUUGUACAAACUAAAAUAGUGGUAUGGUGAAAUUUUGUUGAUGUUGGUUUGUUGAAAUUUUCGGCCAUCAUCAUUGUUGACACUGUGCAUUUCAUUUGGAAAAUUUAGUGAAUUUCUUGGUUUGUUGAGUUGUGUUGCGAUUCCAGUCCGAUCCAGCUAAGAUCACAAUGCACAACCAAUCGACACAACAACUAACCACACAAUAAACACAACAAACAAUUGAACGCAGCAAUGGAACAAGAUAAACACUGAAUGUAGAUUGAUAAUGAGAUCAGAGAAACAAUGCGAUAAGUAAAUGAUAACGAAAGCAACACGAUAAAGAGAAUUGAUAAAAUGCUUCGGAUCCACGAUCCUCAGCCUAAGGUGCUCAAGCACACAUUCACACAAUUUUCAUGAGUGAAUUGAAGAAAGUUGCUACUUCUAUUUAUAUUCUCCCUUCCUUCCCUUCUCUCUCUUAAGCUGACGUGGCAUCAUAUCCUUGCUCUCCCCACAUGACAAAAUCGGCUUCACGAUUCUUAAGUUGGCAUGCUUCUUCUCUUCCACUCUUAUUGAAACGACGUCACAUGCAACCAACACAUGGGUUAUUUACUUAACGAAAAAUACUUGCAACAAGUUGAUAUUGUGUUCUGCCAUAGCAUGGGUUACUGAUACUUUAUUUUUGGGUGAGUGAUUUUGAUGUUGACAUUGUUCUAAGUCUCUGAUCUAUCGUUGUGUUUGUGGUGAUAAUAAACAUGUCAGUGUGCCUCUGUGUUGUGUUUUGCGUGUGACCGUGGUGUUGUGUUUGUUAUUGUAUUGACAUUGCUUGGUUUGGUUUUUUUUGGUGAGCUUUCCGGCAACAAAACCCUAGUUGUUGAUAUUUAGUGUGUUGUUUUGUUUUGCUUUUGUAAUUGCUCGUAUCGACGUUGCUCGGUUUGCUGUGUAUGGUGACUGACAUUACUUGUUGAUGUUUUGGUAUUUGAUCAGGAAAUACUCAAUCAAAGGGUAAAAAUUGGGUGCUGACAUUCUGGAAUGUAUCUUAUGUUGAUGUUGUGUGUUUCUGACAUUCUGAAAUGUAUAUGAGAAUUAAAGUGACAUCUUGGCUGUGACUUUGAUGAUGGGUGUAGAAAUUUGCUGUUGACAUUGUUCUAAGCCUCUGAUCUGUUGCAUUUACAUGCUGAUAAUUUAUCUGGGAAGUGCUAAUAACAUGUCAGUGAGUUGUUUUGUUUUGCGUUUGUUAUUGCUCAUACUGAAAUUGCUUGGUUUGGUGAGUAUAUGACAUGGGAGGCCAACAUUUAGCCGGUGGGUGAUGAAAUUUGCUUAGUAACUGAAAUGGAAUACUGACGCUUUUGAAAAAGGGUGUUGAAAUUUGCGUAGAACAAUUCCGUGGUGAUAAUUUAUCUGGGAAGUGGAAACAACAUGAAAACGUCAAUCAAAGGGUAAAGUUGUAGAUGAGGGUGAGGGGAGUGGGAAGCGGACUAGAACAGUAGGAAAACAGUCAAAAUCUGUGCAGUCCAUGCGUAUACAAGCCAACAGAACACAACUAAGGAUCAAGAGAACAACGUGUUUUUUCUUGCAGAUCCUGAAGUCUCUCAAUGUAAAGCAGAAAACUGCAGUCAGGCAGCUCGGCUUUGGUGGUCUUCUCGAGUACGAUGUGGCGUCUAUUCCAACAACGUUAGCCUAUUGGCUACUAGAGCAUUUUGACCACCUACGGUGCAGUCUCAAGCUGCCUAAUGGUGAUGAGGUAGGGAUUGAUGCGAAAGAUGUUGAGCUUAUUUUUGGUUUCCCAAAUGGGGGGAUUAAAUUUCAUCGAAGUGACCGAAUGACUGGCAUCAAAUACCUAGAAACCAUACCACUUGAGGAGGAUGUUGAUAUACAUUCUAUGCAGACGAAGGUCCUGGAUGUUGAUAUACCUAGAAACCAUACCACUUGUUGACAUUCGUUUCAGAAAAAAAAAUUGAAACUGCAUCAUUUUGUUGACAUUUGUUGUAGACGUGUUGACAUUUGUAGCUUAAAAAACUUGAAACAAAAUUGAAACUGCAUCGAUUUGUAUUUA